rnacentral:lncRNA from 1 species
GGCCCUUUCUGGGGUCCCCGUAGGGUCCCGCGUGUGGCUUCAGGACCCCCAAGAUGUUGGGGGGUCCCUGCGGGAUUUUUGGGGGUCCCGGUGACGAUUUUAGGACUCAGCCAAGACGUUUUAGGUUCCUACGGGGGUUUUGGGGGUCCCCUUGAUGGUUUUGGGGCCUCAAUGGGGACGUUUUAGGUUCCUAUAGGGUUUUGGGGGUCCCCAUGGUGGUUUUAGGGCCUCAAUGAAGGCAUUUUAGGAACUGAUGAAGGUUCCUAUAGGAUUUUGGGGUCCCCGUGAUGGCUUUAGGACCUCAAUGAAGCUGUUUUAGGCUCCUAUAGGGUUUUGGGGUCCCCCCGAUGACUUCAGGACCCCGAUGACGACGCCGAAGGCCCCUGUAGGAUUUCUGGGGGUGGGGGUGCGGGUCCCGAGAACGAUUUCAGGCCCCCCCCAUCCCCGCGAGGCCCCUCGCGUCCCGGCCCCGUUGCCCCGGGGGCCCUCAGGCCGCCGCCGCCGGGCCGAUGAGGAAGAGGAGGAGGAGGAGGAGGAAGAGGAGGAGGAGGAGGAGGAGGAGGAGGAGGAGGAGGAAGGUCAGGGGGCUCGGGGGAGCUGAGCCCCACCCCACCAGGGCCCCCUGUCCCUCGCUGGGGCCCCAAGUCCCCCGCUGGGUCCCCGCUGGGUCCCCACGGCCCCCGUUGGGUCCCCUUGGCCCCCAUUGGCUCCCCUUGGCCAUGGUGAGUCCCCAUUGGCUCCCCGUGUCCCCAUUGGUUCCCCUUGUCCCCCAUUGGCUCCCCAUGUCCCCUGUUGGGUCCCCGUGUCCCCAUUGGUUCCCCGGGUCCCCGUUGGGUCCCCAUUGGUUCCCCUUGUCCCCCAUUGGCUCCCCGUGUCCCCUGUUGGGUCCCCGUGUCCCCAUUGGUUCCCCGCGUCCCCUGUUGGGUCCCCGUGUCCCCAUUGGCUCCCCGUGUCCCCGUUGGGUCCCCAUUGGGUCCCCUUGUCCCCCAUUGGGUCCCCUUGGCCAUGGCGAGUCCCUGCGGGGAUCCCACCACCCCCAUUGGGUCCCCGUUGGCUCCCCACUCCCCCCCAC